rnacentral:rRNA from 1 species
CCUACGGGAGGCAGCAGUGGGGAAUAUUGCGCAAUGGGCGAAAGCCUGACGCAGUGACGCCGCGUGAGGGAUGAAGGUCUUCGGAUCGUAAACCUCUGUCAGCAGGGAAGAACGGUCACUGUGCUAAUCAGCAGUGAAUUGACGGUACCUGCAAAGGAAGCACCGGCUAACUCCGUGCCAGCAGCCACGGGAAUACGGAGGGUGCGAUCGUUGAUCGGAAUUACUGGGCGUAAAGCGCUCGUAGGCGGUAUGUCAAGUCAAGGGGGAAAUCCCCGCGCUCAACGUGGGAACUGCCUUUGAAACUGGCAAACUGGAGUGGGUGAGAGGAUAGUGGAAUUCCAGGUGUAGGAGUGAAAUCCGUAGAUAUCUGGAGGAACAUCAGUGGCGAAGGCGACUAUCUGGCACAUAACUGACGCUGAGGAGCGAAAGCGUGGGUAGCAAACAGGAUUAGAUACCCUGGUAGUC